CGGGAAGGAAAGCAGUGACCAUAUAUAUCAGCAAGGCGGCUGAACUUAAUAUAUCCAUAGCAGAUGGAGACUUCAAAUAGAAAAUUGCUCAACUGCUUCUAAGGAAUCUUUGUCAUUUAUAAAAAUGACAAACUGCAGUGGACCCAACACUGACCCUUGCAGUACACCACUAGUAACUGGUCUCCAGGAUGAACAAUUCCCAUCAACUAUCACCAUACUUAAGAGAAGAUAUUGGCUGUUUCAGUGAUUGAAUCAACACGUUGACACUUAUGGUGUGAUUCGUGGAGUAGUGGGUCUUGGUUAUCUCUGCAUUCCUCCUAUCACAAUCAUAACACUUGCAGCUUCAGAUUAUGGUA